AAGACUACACUUUCAGGGAUCAUUCCUAUAGUUCGUUACUGGAGAAGUUUCUCUGGAUGUGUAGAGUACCUGAAACCACAGGGGGAGGCGCAGUGUUCCCUCCUGAGCGUGAGGCCGGCUUUUGGUGUUGCCUCGGUGACUGCCAUUUGCCAUUGAUGAUGGUUCUUCUUUCUCCGUGGAGGAAGUAAGAGGCAGAAAACACUGUCUUAGCAGU